rnacentral:piRNA from 1 species
UCCUCACGCAAGUUCCUCUUGUAAGAUGA